UACUUCCUGUUCUCACCCUGUACAACUCCC
rnacentral:piRNA from 1 species